UUUAAAGCAAAACUGCAGGCGCCGGGCGCUCUAGCUGCUAGGCUGGGCUUGAGAGUUUGGUGUCCCCGCGGAGACCUCCCUAGCCAGGGAAACUGGGAACUAAGCCCAGUGAAGCGUCUAUACUUUAGUUUUCUAUUCCUCUCAGCAGCUAUGAGACGGAGGGAUUACUAUAGCCAGUUCAUUUUACAGAUGGGGAAAGUGAGGGCCUUCCCUUACUCCAGAUGACACAACUAGAAGUGUGGCGGAGCAGGCAUGUGAACCUAAUCCAAAGCCGAGCCUCGUUCUCCUUUGCCUCGAAGCCCACCCACCCGGGCAAAAUUUAUACAAAAUGGGAAUCAGAAACCCCCUUUCAGCUUGGGGAACAGACAUGUUUAUGGCAAUGUUUAGACCAGCAACGAUCGUAUCACUGUGCAACACAAUGACUGAAGAUGGAACUGAGCCGGCUGUUGGCAGAUCUCUAAGCAACACAA